rnacentral:rRNA from 3 species
CCACACCUAAAAACUUUCCACGUGAACCGUAUCAACCCAAUAAUUUGGGGGUUAAUUUGGUAAUGGCUGCUGGCAUCUUUUUGUUGGCUGGCUGUUACUGAGUAAGCCCUAUCAUGGCGAGAGUUUGGACCUUUGUCUGAACAAGUAGCUACGAUUGUAAACCCUUUCUUAAUUACUGAAUAUACUGUGGGGACGAAAGUCUCUGCUUUUAACUAGAUAA